rnacentral:rRNA from 1 species
UACGAAGGGGGCUAGCGUUGCUCGGAAUCACUGGGCGUAAAGCGCACGUAGGCGACUUUUAAGUCGGAGGUGAAAUCCUGGAGCUCAACUCCAGAACUGCCUUCGAUACUGAGAGUCUUCGAGUUCGGGAGAGGUGAGUGGAACUGCGAGUGUAGAGGUGAAAUUCGUAGAUAUUCGCAAGAACACCAGUGGCGAAGGCGGCCCACUGGAUCGGUACUGACGCUGAGGUGGCGAAAAGCGUGGGGAGCAAACAGG